CGGGGGUUGAUCCGAAGAUGGAGGCGUCGGAGAAUAGCUCCGGCAACGACGGAGUCGUUCCUGUUCAGACCAGAGCUCUGUUUCUCAGCGAAGAUUACUUCAACUUCGACAUCUCAGCUUCCAAAACAACUUUCCCACACGGAUUCAGCUGCAUUAAUCAAACUGUAAGGUCCCUCUCUCUCACGUGGAGAUGAAACUAGUCAGAUCUUGAAAACUUUGUGUUUUGUUAAAUGUUAGGUUUCGUCAACAUCGUUAGAUGUACCGUUGGUGCCCGAAGGUGGAGCUGUGGCGGAGAUGUCAAGAACGACGGCAGCACCAGCUCUGCAGCUAUCUCCUGCGGAGAGAGAGGCUAGGGUUUUGAGGUAUAGGGAGAAGAGGAAGAAUCGGAAGUU
rnacentral:lncRNA from 1 species